UUUUUUUUUUUUUUUUUUUUUUUUUUUUUUUUUUUAAUGUUUGCCAUUCUGACCUGGUAAGAUGGAACCUCAAAGCAAUGCAAAUCACAUUUCUCUCAUGGCUAUUAAAGUCAAACAGCUUUUAAUAUCGGCCAUUUGAGCUUCUUCUUUUGAGUUCAUCAGGCCAUUCACUCAUUGGCAGUUUGGAAUCUGCAUUAUAAAUUCUGAAGUUCUUUAUAUAUUCUGCAUAUUAACAUCCUGAAGUCUGAAGUAUAGCUGGUAACUCGCUUUCCUGGAAGUGACACUGUUUGGGGAGGAAGUGGGGUGGGGCACGGGAUCAUGGAACUUUUAUGUGGUGCAGCCUUGCUACAAGUAAAAUGUCCACAGCCAGCCAGCUCCCUGCUCCGUCCAGCCACCUUCUACCACACCUUCCCUAACACAGUCUCCCCCUUCCAGAAACUUUUCUUCGGGCCAAUCUUAGUGGUCACACACCUUUAACCCCAGUGUUCAGGAGGCAGAAGCCUACACAGUGGGACUCUGUCUCAAACAAACAAAACAAAAUAAAAACCAUUUUAUUCAGCCAGGAGCCGGUGCAGCUGUGAAGGCCAGCGCGACUCAGUGCCACAGUUGGCCAGGCAUGGUUUUGGGUGCCAGCUCCCCUCGCCUGAUUCGAGGUACUCAAUGUCUGGAGACAUGGCCUUAACCCCUGCUCUUGCCUGUCUUCCAGAAGAAAGGUGACAGUAAUGCUAAUGCUGAAAAGCAAGUUGGAGCGGCAUGAUGGUCUCAAAGGAUCCCGGACAUCAGCCUCCACAUCUGACUCUACUCGGAGGGUUUCUGUGAGAGACAAGUUGCCUGUUAAAGAGGUGGCAGGACUUGACGCUAAUUUACCUUGCACAUGUAAAGUACACUUUCCUGACCCAAACAAGCUCCAUUGCUUUCUGCUGACUAUAAGCCCAGGUGAGGGUUACUACAGGGGUGGAAAAUUUCAGUUUGAAACUGAAGGCCCCAUUGCCUACAACAUGGUGCCUCCCAAGGUGAAAUGCUUGGCUGAAAUCUGGCACCCCAACAUCACAGAAACAGGGGAAAUAUGUCUAAGUUUACUAAGAGGAUAUUCAAUUGAUGGCACUGGCUGGGGUCCCACUAGAAUGUUAAAGGAUGUUGUUUGAGGAUUGAACUAUUUACUGAUCUCUUGAAUUUUGAUGAUCCACUGAUUAUUGAAGCUGCAGAACACCAUUUGCGGGACAAGGAGGAUUUGGAGGACAAAGUGGCUGAAUACAUCAAAUGCCAUACCAGAUGAUAAGAGGAGAGAUCGCAGGUCUGAGGACUUUGUCACAGUUGUUUCUGAUGUGAAACAGCUCAAGCUAGCCCUCCUCCCAUUCUCAUACUCCCUGUCAGCCCCUUGGGAUUGUCCCAGUCCUGUGACCAUGCUGUCCUGAAGAAGACGCUCCUGACUGCCCACUAUAGACGGCGAACAACAUAAUACAGCAAGAAAGUGUGUCUGAGCCCCGAGACAGUUGUCUGCUUCCCUUAACGUGUUUACUGAAACUUCUGUCUAGGCUGUCUGGUGGAAUCCCUCCGAAGUUGUAAUGAACUCACCACUGCGCUUGCUUCCUUUCCCCCCAACAAAUGGUGGCCUGUGCAAGUGAUGUAAUGACAUGUUCCGUGUGACUGGCGGGAACUCCGUUUUUAUGGAAUCCAAAGUAUCAAUUCUUGGGGCUCCUUCCUGUGCCUUCAGAAAGGUCUUGCAUGGACCUACAACUUUUUUCCCUCCGUAGCUUCAGUAUUUAGAGUUGUAAAUUAAGGUCCUUGCUCCAUUUAAAACUGAUCUUUUGCGGGUAACAAGUGCAGAUCAAGCUUCACUUUCUGCAGGUAGAGGCCCAGUCUCCCCAAAUCCAUCUGUGGGAAAGGCUGUCCCUCCCUUCUUCUGAUGUGUUCCUGAAGCCUCGGCCAAAUAUUAGGAGCUACUGUGUGGGAUGGUUUUCCUAGGUCCUCUAUUUCACUCCAUUGGUUUACAUGUCCGUUUUUAGACCAGCACCACACUGUCUUUGUCAACAUGACUGUGGUAUAAUUUAAGGUCAAGUAUUUUCCAUACCUCCAGUGACACCCCUUCUGUUUAAAUAGCUUUGGCUAUCUGUGCUUCCCAGUUUGAUAUUAAUUUUAGGGUCUUUUUUUGUUCUCUUUUGGUGUUUUCUCUCUUUCUUUCUUUCUUUCUUUCUUUCUUUCUGUGAAAACCGUCAACUAGACUCGUGAUACAAAUUGCGGUAACUCUGUAGAUUACUUUGGUAGAAGAGGCAUUCUCAGUAUUAUUUCUGGCACUCCAGGAGCAUGAAAGGUUUUUCCAUCAUCUAGUGCCUUCAAUGUCUUUCCUUGGUGUGUUAAAGUUUUCACAAUAGCAGCACUUCAUUGACUAUGCACACUUUUGUUUUAAGCUUUUUUUUUUCUCCCCCUUAAUUUCUCUCUCAGCAAAUUCAUUCUUGACAUAGAGUUUUUUGUUUGGUUAGAUGGUAGGUUUUUGUUUCUAAUGUAUGAAUAUUACCUGCC